AUUGAACGCUGGCGGCAGGCCUAACACAUGCCAGUCGAGCGGAUGAAGGGAGCUUGCUCCUGGAUUCAGCGGCGGACGGGUGAGUAAUGCCUAGGAAUCUGCCUGGUAGUGGGGGAUAACGUCCGGAAACGGGCGCUAAUACCGCAUACGUCCUGAGGGAGAAAGUGGGGGAUCUUCGGACCUCACGCUCUCAGAUGAGCCUAGGUCGGAUUAGCUAGUUGGUGGGGUAAAGGCCUACCAAGGCGACGAUCCGUAACUGGUCUGAGAGGAUGAUCAGUCACACUGGAACUGAGACACGGUCCAGACUCCUACGGGAGGCAGCAGUGGGGAAUAUUGGACAAUGGGCGAAAGCCUGAUCCAGCCAUGCCGCGUGUGUGAAGAAGGUCUUCGGAUUGUAAAGCACUUUAAGUUGGGAGGAAGGGCAGUAAGUUAAUACCUUGCUGUUUUGACGUUACCAACAGAAUAAGCACCGGCUAACUUCGUG
rnacentral:rRNA from 1 species